rnacentral:rRNA from 1 species
GUCGAGCGCAUCCUUCGGGAUGAGCGGCGGACGGGUGAGUAACGCGUGGGAAUGUGCCCUUCUCUACGGAAUAGCCACUGGAAACGGUGAGUAAUACCGUAUACGCCCUCAGGGGGAAAGAUUUAUCGGAGAAGGAUCAGCCCGCGUUAGAUUAGGUAGUUGGUGGGGUAACGGCCUACCAAGCCUACGAUCUAUAGCUGGUUUUAGAGGAUGAUCAGCCACACUGGGACUGAGACACGGCCCAGACUCCUACGGGAGGCAGCAGUAGGGAAUCUUGGACAAUGGGGGCAACCCUGAUCCAGCCAUGCCGCGUGAGUGAAGAAGGCCUUAGGGUCGUAAAGCUCUUUCGCCUGUGAUGAUAAUGACAGUAGCAGGUAAAGAAACCCCGGCUAACUCCGUGCCAGCAGCCGCGGUAAUACGGAGGGGGUUAGCGUUGUUCGGAAUUACUGGGCGUAAAGCGCGCGUAGGCGGAUUGGAAAGUUGGGGGUGAAAUCCCGGGGCUCAACCCCGGAACUGCCUCCAAAACUCCCAGUCUAGAGUUCGAGAGAGGUGAGUGGAAUUCCGAGUGUAGAGGUGAAAUUCGUAGAUAUUCGGAAGAACACCNGUGGCGAANGCGGCUCACUGGCUCGAUACUGACGCUGAGGUG